rnacentral:rRNA from 1 species
AGUGAACGCUGGCGGUAGGCCUAACACAUGCAAGUCGAACGGCAGCACAGUAAGAGCUUGCUCUUACGGGUGGCGAGUGGCGGACGGGUGAGGAAUACAUCGGAAUCUACUUUUUCGUGGGGGAUAACGUAGGGAAACUUACGCUAAUACCGCAUACGACCUACGGGUGAAAGCAGGGGAUCUUCGGACCUUGCGCGAUUGAAUGAGCCGAUGUCGGAUUAGCUAGUUGGCUGGGUAAAGGCCCACCAAGGCGACGAUCCGUAGCUGGUCUGCGAGGAUGAUCAGCCACACUGGAACUGAGACACGGUCCAGACUCCUACGGAAGGCAGCAGUGGGGAAUAUUGGACAAUGGGCGCAAGCCUGAUCCAGCCAUACCGCGUGGGUGAAGAAGGCCUUCGGGUUGUAAAGCCCUUUUGUUGGGAAAGAAAAGCAGCAGGUUAAUACCCCGCUGUUCUGACGGUACCCAAAGAAUAAGCACCGGCUAACUUCGUG